AUGGCAUCGGCCACCAGCUCCCGCCACCUCCUCCUUCUCGUCCUUUGGCUCAGCGCGUCCGCGAGCACUGCCUGGGCCCAUGGAGGUGGCGGACACGGCGACGGCGACGCGGACGGCGGCGCGAAGGCGAAGCCGGAUCUGCGGGCGCCGGGGCUGGUGGCGGUGAAGCUGUGGUGCCUGGCACUGGUGUUCGCGGGCACCCUGGCCGGCGGCGUGUCCCCCUACUUCAUGCGGUGGAACGAGGCGUUCCUGGCGCUGGGCACGCAGUUCGCCGGCGGGGUCAUCCUCGGCACCGCCAUGAUGCACUUCCUCAGCGACGCCGACGAGACCUUCGGGGACCUCGCCCCCCACAGCGACUACCCGUUCGCCUCCAUGCUCGCCUGCGCCGGGUACGUCCUCACCAUGCUCGCCGAGUGCGUCGUCUCCUCCGUCGUCGCGCGCGGCCCCGGCCGGACCGCCCCGAGUGCAGGAGCGCUGGAGGAGGGCAAGCUGAGCAGCACCGAUGACAACAGCAUCGAACCACAAACAUCUGUAAGUGCAGCCUCCGAGUCCGGUGUUGAUUUGGCAGUCGUUCAGACUACCACACAGCUCUGUGUACUCGCGCGUGCAGUAUGUAAUAACUUGGCGGUGCCGCGCGUGCAGGACGCGCACGGACCGUCGACUGCAUCCAUGCUGCGCAACGCGAGCACCAUCGGCGACGGCGUGCUCCUCAUCGCCGCGCUCUGCUUCCACUCCGUCUUCGAAGGCAUCGCCAUUGGAGUUGCCGGUAAGACAGAGACAGAGCUUGAAAUUUCCUGGAUUUUGACUGCAGACGGAAGCCGACGCGUGGAAGGCGCUGUGGACCAUCAGCCUGCACAAGAUCUUGGCCGCGAUCGCCAUGGGCAUCUCGCUGCUCCGGAUGCUCCCCGACCGCCCCCUCCUCUCCUGCUUCGGCUACGCCUUCGCCUUCGCCGUCUCCAGCUCCAUCGGCGUCGCCGCCGCAUACUCGUCGACGCCACCACGGAGGGCCGGGUGGCCGACUGGAUCUAUGCCAUCUCCAUGGGCCUCGCCACGGGCAUCUUUGUCUACGUCUCCAUCAACCACCUCCUCGCCAAGGGGUACAGGCCCCAGAGGCCCGUCGCCGCCGACACCCCCGUCGGCCGGUGGCUCGCCGUUGCGCUUGGCGUCGGUGUCAUCGCGGUCGUCAUGAUAUGGGACGCCUGA
rnacentral:rRNA from 1 species